GGGGAAGUGGCGAAAUGGCAGACGCACAGGCCUUAGGAGCCUGGGGAGGCAACUCCGUGAGGGUUCGAAUCCCUCCUUCCCCA
rnacentral:tRNA from 1 species